GGGCGGUUAGCUCAGCGGUAGAGCACUACCUCGACACGGUAGGGGCCACAGGUUCAAUCCCUGUACCGCCCACCA
rnacentral:tRNA from 2 species